UCUCCGUAGGUGAACCUGCGGAGGGAUCAUUACCGAGUGAGGGUUCCGGCCCGACCUCCAACCCUUUGUGAAUUCGACCCAGUUGCCUCGGGGGCGACCCGGCCUUCGGGCGUCGGGGCCCCCGGUGGUCCACACCUCAACUCUUGCAUCUGUGCGUCUGAGUCGAAAUAUAAAUCAAUCAAAACUUUCAACAACGGAUCUCUUGGUUCUGGCAUCGAUGAAGAACGCAGC
rnacentral:misc_RNA from 1 species